GCCAAAGUUCUGUACCCGGGUGAC
rnacentral:siRNA from 1 species